rnacentral:rRNA from 1 species
UACGUAGGGUGCGAGCGUUGUCCGGAAUUAUUGGGCGUAAAGGGCGCGUAGGCGGUCAGCACAAGUCGGUUGUGAAAUCUCCGAGCUUAACUCGGAAAGGUCAACCGAAACUGUGCGACUAGAGUGCAGAAGGGGCAACUGGAAUUCUUGGUGUAGCGGUGAAAUGCGUAGAUAUCAAGAGGAACACCUGCGGCGAAGGCGGGUUGCUGGGCUGACACUGACGCUGAAGCGCGAAAGCCAGGGGAGCGAACGGG